AGGCGUAUAGCUCAGUUGGUUAGAGCACCACCUUGACAUGGUGGGGGUCGCUGGUUCGAGUCCAGUUACGCCUACCA
rnacentral:tRNA from 1 species